UACGGAGGAUGCAAGCGUUAUCCGGAAUGAUUGGCGUAAAGCGUCCGCAGGUGGCUGUGUAAGUCUGCUGUUAAAGAGUCUAGCUCAACUAGAUACAAGCAGUUGGAAACUACACGGCUAGAGUACGUUGGGCAGAGGGAAUUCCUGGUGUAGCGGUGAAAUGCGUAGAGAUCAGGAAGAACACCGGUGGCGAAGGCGCUCUGCUAGGCCGUAACUGACACUGAGGGACGAA
rnacentral:rRNA from 1 species